UAUGGAUUGAGGAGGCACUUAUUUGUAAC
rnacentral:piRNA from 1 species